CGUUCUCUUUAUAUCUAGGCUACAUGAUUACGACCAUCUUAGGAUGAGUGUUUUUUGGUUCAGAUUGUAACGGGCAACGCGCGUCAUUGAAACGUUGUUAACGAGCAAGUGUAUAAUGAUGAAGCUAAUAAUUUGUAUUAAACUUACUUAGGAAGAAACGAAAUAAUGCCGUCGUGUAUUGCGUUAAAUUGUACGAAUGUAUCGGCAGAGGCUCGUAAAUCAAAAAGACAAAAAUUGUUGGAGAAGAAAUACAAAGUAACUUUUCAUAGAUUACCAAAAGAUCCAACAAAACGACAAAAGUGGCUCGAUAGCCUGUGUAUUCCAGAGCCCAGAGGCGCGAGUCCUAUGAUAUGCUCAAUUCAUUUUCCAGAAAAUGCGUUCGACAGGACGUCCCAGUCUUGUGUGAGACUCAGAGAGUUUGCAAUACCAUAUGGUCCCUUGGAUGAGGAGUUUCACAUUACAUUGCAGAAGUCCAAUCAAAGCAGAUUGCUCCAAUCUCUGAAGCAGAAAACUGUAUCACAGAUUAAUCACCAAGAGGUGGAAGAUGAGCCUGAGGAAGUAAAAUAUUUGGAUGAGGAAAAUUUUAGUGACGACGAUGAAAAAUUUGAUGAAUUAUCCAUUUCUGAGGGUAUACCAUAUCUUAUCGAUGACACUAGUGAAAGAAAAUUAUAUGUCGACCGGUCCACCUCAGUGUCGCCGAGAGACUUUAUCAAUGACGUACCACUAAAGAAGGAGCCCAAAGUGUCUGUAACGCGAUCAACAUCGGUUUCACCCCAACACACUGAAGACAGUACAAAAACGCAAUUUUUCCGCACAGUAUUGAUGAAUACGAAAAAAAUGUAUGUUCAUAAAAUAAAAAUGCUGCAGCAAAAGCAGCGUAGAACAGCAAAUAAAUUGGCAAAUAUGCGGGCUAUUCUGAACGUAUUAAAGAAAAAAAAUCUUCUCGGAGCAAAGGAGCUUGCCAAUCUUCAAGAGAACGUUCUUGCAUCCUGAUAUUAGUGGAACGCUGAUCUUGGUUCUACUUGAAGACAUUCUUCAAUGGAUAUACAGCUUGGUAGCCACAUUCAUUGCAGAAUAUAGGAAUCGAAGCACCAGGUACUGGAUUUACGGACGCUAGUGUUUCAAGCAAAACAUGAAAUGCACUGUGACGUUUUGGCUGGCCAUUCCUCUCCUGUUGAUUGUCGAGACAUUUCAUCACUGAUGUUAAUGCAAAAUUCUUGAAGGGCAACAUUCAUCGCAAAAAUUGCAUUGGAGCAAUAUUGUAACACAAAACAGAUACUUGGAAAUGCAUGCCGGGAAAAAAAUUUCAGAUUGCGGAUACAAUUUCGGAUUCUCUUCGCACAAUACUGUACAAUUGAUUUAUAAUGCGAUAUAAAUAACAUUAAUGCGAUUCUAUGGUCAACAAAAAUUUCAAAAAUGAAUGUAAUAUUUUACAGUAAUAAAACUAAUAGAUUUUACGUAA
rnacentral:misc_RNA from 1 species